rnacentral:rRNA from 1 species
ACUCCUACGGGAGGCAGCAGUGGGGAAUCUUAGACAAUGGGGGCAACCCUGAUCUAGCCAUGCCGCGUGAGUGAUGAAGGUCUUAGGAUCGUAAAGCUCUUUCGCCGGGGAAGAUAAUGACGGUACCCGGUAAAGAAACCCCGGCUAACUCCGUGCCAGCAGCCGCGGUAAUACGGAGGGGUUAGCGUUGUUCGGAAUUACUGGGCGUAAAGCGCACGUAGGCGGACUGGAAAGUUGGGGGUGAAAUCCCGGGGCUCAACCUCGGAACUGCCUCCAAAACUAUCAGUCUAGAGUUCGAGAGAGGUGAGUGGAAUUCCGAGUGUAGAGGUGAAAUUCGUAGAUAUUCGGAGGAACACCAGUGGCGAAGGCGGCUCACUGGCUCGAUACUGACGCUGAGGUGCGAAAGUGUGGGGAGCAAACAGGAUUAGAUACCCUGGUAGGCUCUGC